rnacentral:rRNA from 1 species
UACGAAGGGGGCUAGCGUUGUUCGGAUUUACUGGGCGUAAAGCGCACGUAGGCGGAUUGUUAAGUUAGAGGUGAAAUCCCGGAGCUCAACUCCGGAACUGCCUUUAAUACUGGCAAUCUCGAGUCCGGAAGAGGUAAGUGGAACUCCUAGUGUAGAGGUGGAAUUCGUAGAUAUUAGGAAGAACACCAGUGGCGAAGGCGGCUUACUGGUCCGGUACUGACGCUGAGGUGCGAAAGCGUGGGGAGCAAACAGG